ACAAAAUAUCAUCAAAUCCGGGAUCUCAUUUUCUUCUCUCUCCCCAGAAUCAGAAUCACAGUGAACCCUAGAUCUCAAUCAAAAUCUUUUCCUUACAAUCAAAAUCUUAAGUUAGUGAUGGGUUUUGUAUGGGAUUCUGCCGGAGUAACGUUCAUUCAUACACAAAGAUAGCAUCAUGAUAUUUCCUCUCAAAACUCAGUCCGCAGGAAGGUUUUCAAAGACAUAGAAUAGCUGUGAAGACCAGAUUUCUUUGAAAUAAGGAACGAAUCCGUCCACAAAUGGUGUAAUUCCCAUAUAGGUCGGCUGUUGGGUCAAUAAGAAUACACUAAGGUUGCAAUGUCUUCAAGAAAGAUAUGGUUUCUUCAGCCAUGAGGAGGACCUUUUUCACUUAUACAGUUGAAGAACACGGAAACGGCAACAUGAUGAUAUUUCCUCUCGACAUUAAGCAAAUCAUUUGGUGACGAUUGUUUCCAAAAAGUUCAAAUGUAGAGGUUCCUUCUGAUGAGCAGACAUUGUCUGCUAUAGUUGUUUUCCAUUCUGCAACCCAGUUGCUGCAAUCGUGCAAGGUAGAGAAGCAACACCUGCAAAAUAUAAGCGGGAAGAAUGUUUAGGCUGGGAAGGAAUUUUGAUGAUCCAAGAGAACGGAAAGAUUCUCUGUAGUGAUUAGGAUGCAUUCCAGGAAUCAAUAAGACUUGCGAAACUGUCAAGGUUACAAUCCUAAUAAACAUAAUGGAUGUGAAGUGGGUCACAGAGAGGGGGAGCUAAUAUUCGGGAUGACAUUGGCAAGGAAAGCAACAUUCAUUCAAGAUAACAUUGAUGAGAUUAAAGCCACUCCUUCACAGUUGAAAAUGGAUUUAGGACUCUAGAAGAAGCUUCAACGCAGAAAUGGAGGAUAUAAAUAAGCAAGCUGGAUUAGAUGAGAAUGGAAAGCAACAUUCGAUGACUGAUGCAAUUUAUGUGAAUGUAUCACCAACAAAAUUACAUAGAAGUACCUGCAGAUACUGUGAUCUAGCUUGGAACCUUUAUGCUGCAACAACUCCAGCAAGUGCAACCAGUCCACAAUGUCAGCGGGGAAGUCCUCUUGCACGUAUGAAUGAACCACCAGCACUGUCCACAGUUUCAGGUUGGAGUAGAGGUAAUUUGAAUGAAGUUGUUUGAAACACCAGUGGAAAUAAAGGAGCAAUAGCAUCUGGUAAACUAAUAGUAUUCAAUAAAAAUAGUUUAGUUUAUAUUAUAUCUUUUAGACACGAGCUCCAUAAGUUUCUAUAUAUGAGUCACUGCAUUCCUUUUGGACUAAAUAUACUGGCAAAGAUUUAUCAUUUUUUCCCCCCAAUUUCUUGUGUUCUUUUGAGUGUUUUGUCAGUUGAAAAUAUCAUUAUCUUUGUACUUUGUCUCAAAAAAUUGCUGUUAUCUAUUUGUGUGAUUUAUAGA